GUGAAAACCGAGACCGAGUUUAUUACGUUUUGAUUCGCCGGGUUGAGUGAGUGUUUCGAAGCGCUUUAACUUGAUCCCAAUCGACGCCAUAUCAAUAAAUUAUUCAUUAAUUAUUUUCGAGAGUAUUAGAAACAGCUUAAAAUGUCAGUGAGAAAGUUUUUUACCGGUGCUGGACAAAACUGCCUAAAAGUAUUCAAAAGUUGGACCAGCAACAUCCAAAAGAAGUACCACAAGAAGAAAUGCCGCCACAAUUCGACCUAUUCGGUGUCCACAUUUGGAAGGGCCAGCAUAUCCACUGAAAUAACUGUGCUCGACUAUGAGAUCACGCCCUGUAUGUGUCACCAAAGCAGCAACGAAAUUAAUGAAAACAAAUUCAACGAAAGUAUAGAACAACGAUGGAUAUGCAAAUAUUAUUAGAAGAAUGUUGUCUCUCGACAUGUGUACAUUUUUGUAAAGUGAUUUUUAUAAUUCCUAAUUUAUGGCUGUGAUGAUGUAUUACUUAAUGGUAAAUAGAUACGUUUUUAUUUUUUUGCAAAUAAAUUAGUUAUACGGA
rnacentral:lncRNA from 1 species